ACGGAAGGAAAAGAAACAACAGGGAUUGCCCUAGUAACUGCGAGUGAAGCGGCAACAGCCCAGAUUUGAAAUCCGAUUCUCCUUGUGGGAAUCCGAGUUGUAAUCUGUAGAGGAUGUCGCUGGCUGACAGCUGCUCCCAAGUCCCCUGGAAUGGGGCGCCAUAUAGGGUGAGAGCCCCGUGUGGUGUGGCUGGAACACC
rnacentral:rRNA from 1 species